rnacentral:rRNA from 1 species
CUGACGAGUGGCGGACGGGUGAGUAAUGUCUGGGAAACUGCCUGAUGGAGGGGGAUAACUACUGGAAACGGUAGCUAAUACCGCAUAACGUCGCAAGACCAAAGAGGGGGACCUUCGGGCCUCUUGCCAUCGGAUGUGCCCAGAUGGGAUUAGCUAGUAGGUGGGGUAACGGCUCACCUAGGCGACGAUCCCUAGCUGGUCUGAGAGGAUGACCAGCCACACUGGAACUGAGACACGGUCCAGACUCCUACGGGAGGCAGCAGUGGGGAAUAUUGCACAAUGGGCGCAAGCCUGAUGCAGCCAUGCCGCGUGUAUGAAGAAGGCCUUCGGGUUGUAAAGUACUUUCAGCGGGGAGGAAGGGAGUAAAGUUAAUACCUUUGCUCAUUGACGUUACCCGCAGAAGAAGCACCGGCUAACUCCGUGCCAGCAGCCGCGGUAAUACGGAGGGUGCAAGCGUUAAUCGGAAUUACUGGGCGUAAAGCGCACGCAGGCGGUUUGUUAAGUCAGAUGUGAAAUCCCCGGGCUCAACCUGGGAACUGCAUCUGAUACUGGCAAGCUUGAGUCUCGUAGAGGGGGGUAGAAUUCCAGGUGUAGCGGUGAAAUGCGUAGAGAUCUGGAGGAAUACCGGUGGCGAAGGCGGCCCCCUGGACGAAGACUGACGCUCAGGUGCGAAAGCGUGGGGAGCAAACAGGAUUA